UACGGGGGGAGCAAACGUUGUUCGGAAUCACUGGGCGUAAAGCGCACGUAGGCGGACUCUUAAGUCGGUGGUGAAAUCCUGGAGCUCAACUCCAGAACUGCCUUCGAUACUGAGAGUCUCGAGUCCGAGAGAGGUGAGUGGAACUGCGAGUGUAGAGGUGAAAUUCGUAGAUAUUCGCAAGAACACCAGUGGCGAAGGCGGCUCACUGGCUCGGUACUGACGCUGAGGUGCGAAAGCGUGGGGAGCAAACAGG
rnacentral:rRNA from 1 species